rnacentral:rRNA from 1 species
GCUAGGAUGAACGCUGGCGGCGUGCCUAACACAUGCAAGUCGAACGGGGUAUGGGAAAUUUCGGAUGGACCAUGCUUAGUGGCGGACGGGUGAGUAACGCGUGGACAACCUGCCCCUCGCUGGGGGAUAGCAGCUGGAAACGGCUGGUAAUACCGCAUGCGCUCAGGAUACCGCAUGGUAGCCUGAGGAAAGAUUUAUCGGUGAGGGAUGGAUCCGCGUCUGAUUAGCCAGUUGGCGGGGUAACGGCCACCAAAGCGACGAUCAGUAGCCGGCCUGAGAGGGCGGACGGCCACAUUGGGACUGAGACACGGCCCAGACUCCUACGGGAGGCAGCAGUGGGGGAUAUUGCACAAUGGGCGCAAGCCUGAUGCAGCGACGCCGCGUGAGUGAAGAAGUAUUUCGGUAUGUAAAGCUCUAUCAGCAGGGAAGAAAGGCCCUUCAGGGGAGAUGACGGUACCUGACUAAGAAGCCCCGGCUAACUACGUGCCAGCCGCCGC